UAUAGAUAUUGUUGAAAAGUCGUUAUUUAGUUUUCAUUUGAAGUAUUCUUGUCGCUCUAUAAUAUUAAGAUAUAACCACUGAACUCAUAUGAACUGUUUCAAAUAUGUUUUUAGUACCUUUAUGGAUCUUGAGAGGUGCAGUAACAUUGCUGGCAAUGGAGGCCUCUAUAAGCCAUCGGAUUUCAUAAACAAUAUCCUAAUUUGUGUUCCGAAGAUGAACGAAGGUGUAAAACGACAUGAUGGGAUUCAAGCUGGCCAUCAACAUCAUGUUCACGAUAAAAACAUCGAAGUUUUGUCCCCGUGUUCACCAUCAAACCAAUCAGCCGUGAGCUCGAGUCUAGACUUCAGCAACAGUGAAACGGUGAGUUCCUACUUUAUUUUUGACUAAAAUACAUUGCUAUAAGAAGUAAACGGACUAUAUUAAGGCAGCUAAAUAAAUGUGAUAUGGUUGAAAAAACAAAACAAAAUUAUUUAAAGUCCCCCUGGGAUGAAAAUCAAGUUUGUGGUAGAGCUGCACGAUUAAUCGUAAAAAGAUCGCGAUCUCGAUUCAAACACCCACGCCAUCUUAUUUUAUUAAUGGCAACGUUUAUCCUUUGUCUAUUAAAACAUUUGACAAAAUCAUACCGGAACUUUAAAAUUCUGCUGCGCUGAUCCAGAGAGAGCAGUUCUGAACCACACAGUAGUUAUUUCUCUGUGUUACAAAUAUAAAAAUGAUCACAUAAGUACUCAGAUACAAGUUUAAAGUUAGGAUGUAAACACUGAUGUCUACGAUAGCGACAAAAUAAAGCAAAUCACCUUUGGAAACGAACGUGGCGCUUCAAAUAACGGUUGUAUCGGUUACAUCUUAUACGCCACUAGGUGGCGACAAGUGACUGUUAAAAAUGUAUUUCUCAUUGAACCAUUCAUUCAAAAGAUUUGUUCACAAACACUGAUUCAUCCAGUAAUGAAACAUUUAUUGAGUCAUAUUCAUUCAAAACCAUUUUUUAAAUAAUUCAUUUUUCUAGCAAUUAGAGUCCAGCAAUUAAUAUUUUGUCAGAACCUCUAAUAAAUUACGUUAUUUUGUUUUUAAAAUUGCUUUAAGACAAACCAUGUGCAAAUCCACAUUUCUGAGUAUUUUCUUUAAAACUGCAGUGAUCUGAAGAGUCUCAAAAACGCGGUUUGAAAUCGCUGGUGUUCCUUACGUCACGAACUACCUUGUAACCAAUCACGUCAACGAGUGGAUCUAAUUUGCAUAUUUAUAGAACCACGUAUACUAAAUGAGGCAAGGAUGCAGAGUUAUUAUCAAGCUAUUUUAAGGUAUCAAGAACGUUUAAAUGUGUCAUUUUGUUGAUCAAAGAUGAGUUUUAAGGGAUAAAAUUACUGACUACAGGGGGACUUUAAAAUAACAGGCCAGAGACUAGAAGAAUCACCAACUCGCUCUGAUGUAACCAAACCUAGGGAAUGAAAUUCAUAGAAUUUCAUUUAUAAAAUGUGUAAAUUAUUUUAUUUCAUUUCUGACAAACGGAAAAUUAAGUGGUUGAAUAAACUCAAAAAUAAAAGUGAGACAUCUGUGAACUGCAGCUGUGCAUUGGGUGUGUGUCAUGUGCACAGCUCAGCUGAUUAUAUUCAGAGGGAUCUAGACGCGUAACAGACAUGUAGAUGCAACACAAACCUGCGGAUAAACUCCAAACUGGUGAUAGUCGACACCCUACAAAAACUGACAAAACUUUUUUUUUUUUUUUUCAGUCCUUAGAUGUAACCUUUUUAUUAUUUGUACAUUCAGCACUUACAGGAGUAAACAAUAAAAUUAAAAGAAAACAAAAUGAAGCUUUUAUGCUAAAACAAUAAUAAAAAAAAAAUUUAAAAACCAAAUGUGAAAAGGUUAAAUAUGCAUCCCAUUCUCCAUGGCAGCUUGGCUAAAAACAAAGGGGUUGUAAAAAGCAGACAAUAGGUGGGGGGAAAAAAAUGAUACAAGGAAUGUGAGGGAAACAGAAGA